rnacentral:rRNA from 1 species
GACAGAGGUGCCAAGCGUUAGGCGGAAUCACUGGGCUUAAAGCGUGUGUAGGUGGAUGCCUAAGUACCUUGUGAAAUCCCACGGCUCACCCGUGGAACUGCUGGGUAUACUGGGUGUCUUGAGCCACUUAGGGGUCGCUGGAACAAACGGUGGAGCGGUGAAAUGCGUAGAUAUCGUUUGGAACGCCAAUGGUGAAAACAGGCGACUGGGAGUGUGCUGACACUGAGACACGAAAGCCAGGGGAGCGAACGGG